AACGAACGCUGGCGGCAGGCUUAACACAUGCAAGUCGAACGCCCCGCCAGGGGAGUGGCCGACGGGUGAGUAACGCGUGGGAACAUACCCUUUUCUACGGAAUAGCUCUGGGAAACUGGAAUUAAUACCGUAUACGCCCUACGGGGGAAAGAUUUAUCGGGGAAGGAUUGGCCCGCGUUGGAUUAGCUAGUUGGUGGGGUAAAGGCCUACCAAGGCGACGAUCCAUAGCUGGUCUGAGAGGAUGAUCAGCCACAUUGGGACUGAGACACGGCCCAAACUCCUAGGGAGGCAGCAGUGGGGAAUAUUGGACAAUGGGCGCAAGCCUGAUCCAGCCAUGCCGCGUGAGUGAUGAAGGCCUUAGGGUUGUAAAGCUCUUUCACCGAUGAAGAUAAUGACGGUAGUCGGAGAAGAAGCCCCGGCUAACUUCGUG
rnacentral:rRNA from 1 species